AAUGCAGCCGGACCUGGCUUGGUUCCAGGAACAACAAGAAUAAAGACUUGCUGGGUUCCCACCACACAUGUUGUCGUGAGCUCACUACACACCCUGUCCCUGGAGCAUUGGGAUGCAGCCUGGAGCCAGGAAGAUGACAGUGUUGUGCACAGCUCUGCACUGGUAAUGCACUAUGCAUGAGUCGCCCUCAGGACCUUGUGUUACUGCUGCUGGUUGGCUGGCCAGGCACUGCUGGAUACAGCAAGGGCACUGGCGAUAGCAGGCAGCAGCUUCAGUCCACACCUGCCAACUUCAGCCUAGCCAAGGGCACCCACAUCAGCACGUCCACAGCCUGAGGUCCCCUGGGUUCCACCAAGGACCUCUAAUGCAAGCUGAUAUGGGGCCCUGUGGCCAGCAGGGACCCCUACUAGACCAUCCAGACUUUGCACUAUAAAUCUUACUCAAGGCACCAUACCUGCUGAUAACAGGACCUUAAAGAAGUUAAGAUAUGCAACACUCCAACCAUAAAUCUUCCCCAAGGCAGUUGACCCUAACAUCCACAUGCACAGGAAACCCCAGAAUGGCCACUAUAUGACCUUCCUGGGCCAGCAGUAGUGAGCAACACCACUAUCUUGAACCCACUGAGCAUGGACCAAGACUUCAACCAGGACCAAGCAUGCACAGACACCAUAACAGGAAGGAAGAAAUCACUCCAGGAGGCAGAGGUUCCUGAUGUCAAUCUCUGUACCCUACCCAAUAAAAAACGCUGAGAAGCUCCCCUUGGGGAGCCAGCUGGAGGACUCUU
rnacentral:lncRNA from 1 species